rnacentral:tRNA from 1 species
GCCGCCUUAGCUCAGCUGGUAGAGCACUUGACUUGUAAUCAUGAGGCCUUCCGUUCAAACCGGAAAGGCGGCU